rnacentral:rRNA from 1 species
GACGAACGCUGGCGGCGUGCCUAAUACAUGCAAGUAGAACGCUGAAGGAGGAGCUUGCUUCUCUGGAUGAGUUGCGAACGGGUGAGUAACGCGUAGGUAACCUGCCUGGUAGCGGGGGAUAACUAUUGGAAACGAUAGCUAAUACCGCAUAAUAGCAGUUGUUGCAUGACAACUGUUUGAAAGGUGCAAUUGCACCACUACCAGAUGGACCUGCGUUGUAUUAGCUAGUUGGUGGGGUAACGGCUCACCAAGGCGACGAUACAUAGCCGACCUGAGAGGGUGAUCGGCCACACUGGGACUGAGACACGGCCCAGACUCCUACGGGAGGCAGCAGUAGGGAAUCUUCGGCAAUGGACGGAAGCCUGACCGAGCAACGCCGCGUGAGUGAAGAAGGUUUUCGGAUCGUAAAGCUCUGUUGUAAGAGAAGAACGAGUGUGAGAGUGGAAAGUUCACACUGUGACGGUAUCUUACCAGAAAGGGACGGCUAACUACGUG